CCCUGCCGGGUGCCGUGCAGCAGCUGGUGUUGUGAAUCAGGCCGUCACCAGUCGGAGAACGGCUACUUCACAACACCAGGGUGGCACUGCACCACA
ensembl:miRNA